GAUGAACGCUGGCGGCGUGCCUAAUACAUGCAAGUCGAGCGGAAAGACGAGAAGGUUGCGUCUCUGAGGUUAGCGGGGGAGGGGAGCGUAAGACGAAGAUACCCUUGCUAUUGGAAUGGGAUCACUUAGGGAGACCGGAGAUCAUACCGGAGCAUCUUCUGCACCGCAGGGGUUAAAAGGGAACGACGGUCGUGGUGUCACUUGUAGAUGGAUCCGCGCUGCAUUGGCUAGUUGGUAAGGUAACGGGUUACCAAGACAAGGAUGCGUAGCCCACCUGAGAGGGUGAUCGGCCACCCUGGAGCGGAGACGCGGACCAGACUCCUACGGGAGGCAGCAGUAGGGAAUCGUCCGCAAUGGGCGAAAGCCUGACGGAGCGACGCCGCGUGAGUGAUGAAGGUCUUCGGAUCGUAAAACUCUGUUAUUAGGUAAGAACAUAUGUGUAAGUAACUGUGCACAUCUUGACGGUACCGAAUCAGAAAGCAACGGCUAACUACGUG
rnacentral:rRNA from 1 species